rnacentral:rRNA from 1 species
GACGAACGCUGGCGGCGUGCUUAACACAUGCAAGUCGAACGGUGAAGCGCCUUCCUUUUUGGUGGGUGUGGAUGAGUGGCGAACGGGUGAGUAACACGUGAGUAACCUGCCCCCUUCUUCUGGAUAACCGCAUGAAAGUGUGGCUAAUACGGGAUAUUCUGGGUCUGUCGCAUGAUGGGUCUGGGAAAGAUAUUGUUUCGGUGGGGGAUGGGCUCGCGGCCUAUCAGCUUGUUGGUGGGGUGAUGGCCUACCAAGGGGGUGACGGGUAGCCGGCCUGGGAGGGUGGGCGGUCACAAUGGGACUGAGACACGGCCCAGACUCCUACGGGAGGCAGCAGUGGGGAAUAUUGCACAAUGGGCGCAAGCCUGAUGCAGCGACGCCGCGUGAGGGAUGGAGGCCUUCGGGUUGUGAACCUCUUUCGCCAGUGAAGCAGGCCUGCCUCGUUUGUGGGUGGGUUGACGGUAGCUGGAGAAGAAGCGCCGGCUAACUACGUG